AAGGCUUUAGCUUAAUUAAAGUGUCUGUUUUGCAUGCAGGAGAUGUGAGAUAACGGCUCGCAAGUCUUA
rnacentral:tRNA from 1 species